UCUUCUGGCCCUUGGAAGCCUGGCUCCUGUACCUUCACCUGGCGUCUUGGCGCCUUUUUCUCAGCGGCCUGUGGGUGGAUGUGCAUGGCGUGGCCUGGAGAGAGAAGCUCCACGUGCAAACAGACAGGGAAGCAGAGCCUGUAUCCUGAUAGCUGGCCUGGUGGCCACUCCUGCACUGAGCCUGAAGGACCACAGAGCACAUGGGGGGUUGGGCACCACUGCCAACAGCAUCACCCCACACAGAAUAAAACCAAAGAAAGAAGGUUGGGGAGAUAAUUUGGGGAUUUUCUAGGCCCCCAAUCCCAUCCAUCAGGACAAUCAAGAGUAAUGGUUCCCAGCAAGGGUCAGAGCCCAGAAGGAAAAGGCACAGGCUGCCUUGUCAGACAGUGGGCCAGAGGAACUAAGAGGCUGCAUGCCCUCAACAGGAACCUGUGGUAGCAUCCACAGAGGUCCCCUCUGGGACUGAGACUAAGAGGAGCAAUCCAAAACAACCACUGCAACACCACAAGGCCCAGGAUGCUGAAUGCCAAGGAAACUAGGGUAUGUUUAAGUCUUGUGCAAGAACACACAGGCCACGUGUAAAUCUCAUAGACCAGUAAUUC
rnacentral:antisense_RNA from 1 species